rnacentral:rRNA from 1 species
GAUGAACGCUAGCGAUAGGCUUAACACAUGCAAGUCGAGGGGCAGCAUGGUCUUAGCUUGCUAAGACUGAUGGCGACCGGCGCACGGGUGCGUAACGCGUAUGCAACUUGCCUCACAGAGGGGGAUAACCCGUCGAAAGACGGACUAAUACCGCGUACACUUGGGAUAGGGCAUCCUGACCCAAGGAAAUGAAAUUCGCUGUGAGAUAGGCAUGCGUCCCAUUAGCUAGUUGGUGAGGUAACGGCUCACCAAGGCGACGAUGGGUAGGGGAACUGAGAGGUUGAACCCCCACACUGGUACUGAGACACGGACCAGACUCCUACGGGAGGCAGCAAUGAGGAAUAUUGGUCAAUGGGCGAGAGCCUGAACCAGCCAAGUCGCGUGAAGGAUGACUGUCUUAUGGAUUGUAAACUUCUUUUAUACGGGAAUAACAAGAGCCACGUGUGGCUCCCUGCAUGUACCGUAUGAAUAAGCAUCGGCUAACUCCGUG